rnacentral:rRNA from 1 species
UACGUAGGGUGCGAGCGUUAAUCGGAAUUACUGGGCGUAAAGCGUGCGUAGGUGGUUCGUUAAGUCUGUCGUGAAAGCCCCGGGCUCAACCUGGGAAGUGGCGAUGGAUACUGGCGGGCUAGAGUGCGGUAGUAGGAGAGGUGGAAUUCCCGGUCGUAGCAGUGAAAUGCGUAGAUAUGUGGAGGAACACCGAUGGCGAAGGCAGCCCCCUGGGUCAAGCACUGACGCUCAUGCACGAAAGCGUGGGGAGCAAACAGG